rnacentral:rRNA from 1 species
AUUUAACGCUGGCGGCAGGCCUAACACAUGCAAGUCGAGCGAGCGGCGGACGGGUGAGUAAUGUAUGGGCAACUGCCUGAUUGAGGGGGAUAACUACUGGAAACGCUAGCUAAUACCGCAUACCAUCAGAUGUGCCCCAAUGGGAUUAGCUAGUAGGUGGGGUAACGGCUCACCUAGGCGACGCUCCCUAGCUGGUCUGAGAGGAGGACCAGCCACACUGGAACUGAGACACGGUCCAGACUCCUACGGGAGGCAGCAGGGGGGAAUAUUGCACAAUGGGCGCAAGCAUGAGGCAGCCAUGCCGCGUGUGUGAAGAAGGCCUUAGGGUUGUAAAGCACUUUCAGCGGGGAGGCGUUACCCGCAGAAGAAGCACCGGCUAACUCCGUGCCAGCAGCCGCGGUAAUAC